rnacentral:rRNA from 1 species
AUGACCAUGCAGACACGUGUCUUCAUCGUCCACAUGUUGCCAGCCGAUGCUUCCCGCCUCUUCGCUCGGGCUUCAGCAACCAAUAUGAUGACGGAGGGGUAUGUCUGGAUUGUCACAGAUAACAUUGGCAUUGUCCUUGAUGUGCUUCCCCAGGAUACAAUUGACACCAUGCUGGGUGUUGUGGGUUUCCGGCCAUAUGUAGCAAAAUCUGUGAGGAUCAGCGGUUUCACGGCUCGUUUCGUCACUCGAUACAGAGCCAAAUUCCAUCAAGAUCCUAAUGUUAGGGUGGCAAGACCCACCAUCUUCCAAUACUGGGCAUAUGGUGUGGUAUGGGCAAUUGCGUCUGCAACUGAGAAAGCCAUAAAUCUAAGGUCUACUCCACGCAACUUAGUAGAUGACCCGGAAGUAUCUCCUGCUGGACAAGACCUUCUGAAUUCCAUAACGGAUGGGGAGUUUGAUGGAUUGGCUGGGAGAUUCAGGUUUGUUGAUAGGCAGUUGCCGGUUCCAGCAUAUGAGAUUGUGAACGUGAUUGAAGAGAAAACUAGGCGCAUUGGGUUUUGGAGCCCUGUUUCUGGACUAUCACCUUUUCUCAACUCUAGCACUCGACCAGUCCAAGAUAGACGUAGGUUACGCGCUGAUCAAGUCCUGAGAACUGUCAUUUGGCCAGGAGAUUCAACAACAGUGCCCAGAGGCUGGGACGUCCCAGUAAAUGGCAAGAUACUCCAGAUUGCUGUGCCCGUGAGACGUGAUUUUAAGUUUUUUGUGAAUGUCGAGGCUAGUCCUAACUCCAGUGAACUUGUUGUCAACGGCUACAGCAUUGAUGUCUUUGAGGCUGCUGUGAAGAAACUACCAUAUGCGCUGCGCUAUAAGUACAUUCCCUAUGACUGUGCAAAUUCUUAUGACAAGCUGGUAUCGGAGGUUUACUUCAAGACGUUUGAUGCAGCAGUGGGUGAUGUGACAAUCAUUGCCAAUCGAACUAGGUAUGUGGACUUCACAAUGCCAUACACAGAGUCUGGAGUGUCGAUGCUUGUCCUAGCUAGGAAAGAUGAAGAUGAACCAACCAUGUGGGUCUUCUUAGAGCCACUAACGAAGGACCUUUGGAUGGCUACAGUAGUCUUUAUGGUCGUCACUGGGCUAUUUGUAUGGAUGAUUGAAAAUCCUAUAAAUGAGGAAUUCAAAGGUUCCAAAUGGAAACAGUUCAGCACUUCUUUCUACUUUGCAUUCUCCACCUGGACUUUCACGCAUGAUCAAAAGUUCAAAAGCCUUCAGUCAAAAGUUAUUGUGGUGUCCUGGUGCUUUGUAAUGCUAGUUAUAGUGCAGAGCUACACAGCAAGCUUGUCAUCAAUGUUAACUGCAAAGAGGCUCCAGCCUUCAGUGACUGACCCAAGGCAACUUUUGCACAAUGGUCACUAUGUUGGAUACCAGAAUGGCUCAUUUGUGCACUCAAUGCUGAGGAGGCUUCGAUUUGAGGAGCGCUGGAUAAAGGUUUGUAGCACGCAGGAGGAAUAUGCAAAGGCAUUGAAGCUGGGAUCAAAGAAUGGAGGAGUAUCUGCCAUCUUUGACGAGACACCAUACAUAAAUUCUUUCCUCUUGCAGUACGGCAAAGGGUUCCAGAAGGUUUUCCCUAAAGGCUCUCCGUUGGUGGAGGAUCUUUCCAAGGCCAUGCUGAAUUUGAUAGAAGGGCCUGAAGGUUCUCAUAUUGAGAAGAAGUGGUUCAGUGAUCCGAUUCUAUCACUGGAUUAUGGCAGUCUGGACACCGACUCCUUGCGCCUCAGCUCACGGAACUUUGAAGGUCUAUUCAUCAUCAAUGGAUGCGUUUUAGGUUUGAUGAUUCUCAUAAACUUGUCGAGGCGUGCUUAUGCAAAAUUCAUUGCCAAAAGAAACUCUGUUUCUGCUAGUGAUGACGAGGCUCAACCUUCGCCGAAUGGCAACGGCGUGCCUGCUAUCCAGUCCCUCUAG